UACGGAGGGGACUAGUGUUACUCGUCAUAAUUGGGCGUAAAGGGUAUGUAGGUGGUUUUUUAAGUUAGAAGAAAAAGGUUUGAUGAAAAAAUCAUACAAAACAUUUAAUACUGGGAAGCUAGAGUUUAAUGGAGGAUUAUGGUACUUAUAUUGUAGAGGUGCAAUUCUUGAAUAAUAUAAGGACCCUCAAAGGCGAAAGCAAUUUUCUAUGUUAAACUGACACUGAGAUACGAAAGCAUAGGGAGCAAACAGG
rnacentral:rRNA from 1 species